rnacentral:rRNA from 1 species
GAUGAACGCUAGCUACAGGCUUAACACAUGCAAGUCGAGGGGAAACGACAUCGAAAGCUUGCUUUUGAUGGGCGUCGACCGGCGCACGGGUGAGCAACGCGUAUCCAACCUGCCCAUCACUUGGGAAUAACCUUGCGAAAGUAAGACUAAUACCCAAUGACAUCCCACGAAGACAUCUGAAUGGGAUUAAAGAUUUAUCGGUGAUGGAUGGGGAUGCGUCUGAUUAGCUUGUUGGCGGGGUAACGGCCCACCAAGGCAACGAUCAGUAGGGGUUCUGAGAGGAAGGUCCCCCACAUUGGAACUGAGACACGGUCCAAACUCCUACGGGAGGCAGCAGUGAGGAAUAUUGGUCAAUGGGCGAGAGCCUGAACCAGCCAAGUAGCGUGCAGGAUGACGGCCCUAUGGGUUGUAAACUGCUUUUAUAAGGGAAUAAAGUGGGUCUCGUGAGACUUUUUGCAUGUACCUUAUGAAUAAGGACCGGCUAAUUCCGUG